rnacentral:rRNA from 1 species
UACGUAGGGGGCAAGCGUUGUCCGGAAUCAUUGGGCGUAAAGAGCGUGUAGGCGGCCAGAAAAGUCCGCUGUGAAAACUCGAGGCUCAACUUCGAGCUGUCGGUGGAAACUUUCUGGCUAGAGUCCGGAAGAGGAGAAUGGAAUUCCUGGUGUAGCGGUGAAAUGCGCAGAUAUCAGGAAGAACACCCGUGGCGAAGGCGGUUCUCUGGGACGGUACUGACGCUGAGACGCGAAAGCGUGGGGAGUGAACAGG